AGUUGUGGCCAAACCCCCUUGUCAAAGUAUGAUCUCAUCAGAUCUCAGAAGCUAAGCAGGGCUGGGCCUGGUUAGUACUUGGAUGGGACGCUGCUUGGAAUUCUAGAUACCACAGACG
rnacentral:rRNA from 1 species